rnacentral:lncRNA from 10 species
AAAAAAUAUGGUUUGUUUUCAUACAUAGGAGAAAACUGAAUGGGCUACCUUUGAAGUCCAGGGCACCCUCCUCUAUCUUGUUCACUUCCUCAUCAGGCACUAUCUAUGGACUGAGAAGAGAAGGACUUUAAAACAGUGGUAAAGAAAGCAACAAAGACAAUGACUGGCAAGACAGAAGAAUUGUGCAGAGAAAGAGGAACACUGUGACCCGAUCAAGGACGAAAUGAUUCCCAACCUCCUUAGAGCCUUGCUGGUGCCGAGAUGUCUGUGAUCAUCAGUCACCUCUUCAUCCCAACUCCCUUCUAUUCCCCCCACCCUUAACAUAAAAAGAGCCUGAAAUGUGUACUGACUUAUUUUAGGAUGCAAGUCCACCAUCUUCUUGGUUUACUGGCUUUCCAAAUAAACUGGUUGUUUC